CAGGACUGCCUCAGAGAGCAG
rnacentral:miRNA from 1 species